rnacentral:rRNA from 1 species
UGGGGAAUAUUGCACAAUGGGCGCAAGCCUGAUGCAGCCAUGCCGCGUGUGUGAAGAAGGCCUUCGGGUUGUAAAGCACUUUCAGCGAGGAGGAAGGGUAGUGUGUUAAUAGCACAUUGCAUUGUCGUUACUCGCAGAAGAAGCACCGGCUAACUCCGUGCCAGCAGCCGCGGUAAUACGGAGGGUGCAAGCGUUAAUCGGAAUUACUGGGCGUAAAGCGCACGCAGGCGGUUUGUUAAGUCAGAUGUGAAAUCCCCGCGCUUAACGUGGGAACUGCAUUUGAAACUGGCAAGCUAGAGUCUUGUAGAGGGGGGUAGAAUUCCAGGUGUAGCGGUGAAAUGCGUAGAGAUCUGGAGGAAUACCGGUGGCGAAGGCGGCCCCCUGGACAAAGACUGACGCUCAGGUGCGAAAGCGUGGGGAGCAAACA